rnacentral:rRNA from 1 species
GACGAACGCUGGCGGCGCGCCUAACACAUGCAAGUCGAACGGAGUCAAGAGGAGCUUGCUUUUCUUGACUUAGUGGCGAACGGGUGAGUAACGCGUGAGUAACCUGCCCUGGAGUGGGGGACAACAGUUGGAAACGACUGCUAAUACCGCAUAAGCCCACGGAUCUGCAUGGAUCUGCGGGAAAAGGAUUUAUUCGCUCUAGGAUGGACUCGCGUCCAAUUAGCUAGUUGGUGAGGUAACGGCCCACCAAGGCGACGAUUGGUAGCCGGACUGAGAGGUUGAACGGCCACAUUGGGACUGAGACACGGCCCAGACUCCUACGGGAAGCAGCAGUGGGGGAUAUUGCACAAUGGGGGAAACCCUGAUGCAGCGACGCCGCGUGGAGGAAGAAGGUUUUCGGAUUGUAAACUCCUGUCGUUAGGGACGAUAAUGACGGUACCUAACAAGAAAGCACCGGCUAACUACGUG